rnacentral:snoRNA from 1 species
AUUAUUCCAAGGAUGAUACCAAUUCGGAUGUAAAAAAACACAUUUUCCGAGAUGCGCUUUACAAACCUUGUGGAAAUUUCCGUUGCCUUCCUUCUGAUCUUUUUU